rnacentral:misc_RNA from 1 species
GAAAUGCGAUAAGUAAUGUGAAUUGCAGAAUUCAGUGCAUCAUCGAAUCUUUGAACGCACCUUGCGCUCCUUGGUAUUCCUUGGAGCAUGCCUGUUUGAGUAUCAUGAAAUCUUCAAAGUAAAUCUUUUGUUAACUCAAUUGGUUUCUACUUUGGUAUUGGAGGUCUUUGCAGCUUCACACCUGCUCCUCUUUGUUCAUUAGCUGGAUUUCAGUGUUAUGCUUGGUUCCACUCGGCGUGAUAAGUUAUCUAUCGCUGAGGACACUGUAAAAGGUGGCCAAGGUAAAUGCAGAUGAACCGCUUCUAAUAGUCCAUUGACUUGGACAAUACUUUUAUGAUCUGAUCUCAAAUCAGGUAGGACUACCCGCUGAACUUAAGC